rnacentral:rRNA from 1 species
CUACGUGCCAGCAGCCGCGGUAAUACGGAGGGUGCGAGCGUUAAUCGGAAUAACUGGGCGUAAAGGGCACGCAGGCGGUUAUUUAAGUGAGGUGUGAAAGCCCCGGGCUUAACCUGGRAAUUGCAUUUCAGACUGGGAGUCUAGAGUACUUUAGGGAGGGGUAGAAUUCCACGUGUAACGGUGGAAUGCGUAGAGAUGUGGAGGAAUACCGAAGGCGAAGGCAGCCCCUUGGGAAUGUACUGACGCUCAUGCACGAAAGCGUGGGGAGCAAACAGGAUUAGAUACCCUGGUAGUCCACGCCCUAAACGAUGUCUACUAGUUGUCGGGGAUUAAUUUCCUUGGUAACGCAGCUAACGCGUGAAGUAGACCGCCUGGGGAGUACGGUCGCAAGAUUAAAACUCAAAGGAAUUGACGGGGACCCGCACAAGCGGUGGAUGAUGUGGAUUAAUUCGAUGCAACGCGAAAAACCUUACCUACGCUUGACAU